GAUGAACACAGCACACAAACCUGGAGUGUAAGAGGGGUGGAAGUAACGAAAAUGAAUUGAUAAAAAAUGGAGGUGAUGAAAAUGCAUGUGAAUUAAAAAAUGGAGUGAUAAAUUAUCAAGUGAUUUGAUUAAUUUAUAGCCGAUUUGACUGAAACUGUCGUGAAAUGAUGAA